AAGGCCAUCUCCUCCUCUAGGAGGUGGGAGCACCUCUUGGUGGUUUCAAUAUCCUCUUAGCUAUUUGAACCUUGAAGGUCAAGACCUAAGGGAUGGAGGUCAUGAACUCGAUGAGACUCCUAGCCUGUCAUGGUGAAGACCCCUAGCCUGUCAUGGAAACUUCCAGCAGAUGUAUAUUUUGAGACGUUCCGGUCACUAGGUGUGGCUGUCUUUCUACUAGUCCGAGCCAGACAAGGGCAAUGAGAGAUGGACCAGCAGAAAGGAUGAGGGCAGAGGCUGCCGUGAGGGCAACAGAGUGAGAACUGACAUCCUGAGGGUGGGAGUGGAUGAUAACUUAUCACUGAAGGGACCUGUGUCCCUGCAGGGCUCAAGGAGAAGCUGGGCUCAGAGGAGCCUGGCUGAUGGCCUUCAAAACAAGAAAAGAUCUGUUGCUUUGGUCAAGAACAGUGUGGGGAAGAGAAGAACUCGGAAGAACAGGGUGGUUCCUUCCAACUCUGGCUCCCCUUGCUUUCACUAUGGUGAACACGGAUCUCAUUGGGCAGGCUAGAGCUGAGGGUGGUGACCCAGUGGAGAGCGUGAGGAGAGGUGGUGGUGGCUGAUGGCGAGAACAUGGAUCCAAGCCCUUGGCGACAUUGAAAACAUGGAACCCCCCCUCUCUUCCUGGUCCCCGUACUCCCCUUCGGACAGCGGUGUUGGGCCGCGCCUUCGGUGGCCCUGUAAUAUCAACUCAACAAUGCAUGUUCUACAACUACAGCUACAGCUACCAGGACAUCUACUACAGUGCAUGCAUUUAGUUCAGUCCCACAGAUACAUACAAUCUAAGAACAGGCAAGGGAGGUGUGAAAUGUUUUACUAGACAACAGGUGUUUUGGAGUUGUAACUGAUAAAAAAAAAGAGAGAGAGAGAAACGUAAAGUGUACAAAAAAAAAAGAGAGAGAGAGAGACAUUUCUCGAGAGUUGGAUAUGAGUUUGUUUCUUGAACUGUUUCAUCUGAACAAGCAAAACAUGCAAACCAGCUGAUACUAACAGGAAGCUGGACACUGAGAGAGGUUAACAGGUGUGGACAAACCUUCCUGCUGAGCGUGCUCAGAAGAGUGUCUGAGAGGACGUGUGCAGGUCCUAGUGUAAGAGAGGCGGGAAAGUUUGCCUCAGACACUCUCUCUCACCGCAGCCCCAACCAAGCAAGAGAAAAGACAACAGAAACAUGACUGCUCACACUCACCACCACCGUCAGGAGCUUAUGUCACUAGACUGGAAUAAAGCCGGCAAGUAUAAAGUACAGUACGGGGUCCUGGCUGGGGCCGGGGCAGGGGCCGGGGGAGGGAGUGGACACCGGGGGAGGGGUGCUCUGCAAGCUCGAAGAGUAAUACACGGACCCACCAAUGAGGUCACCCCCAAAUAAAAUUGGCACCAUUUUUUUUCCUCGGGUUGGGGGUCGGGGUGGGGUGGGGAGAGGAGUUGUCAGCGGUGGGGAGAGGAGUUGUCAGCAGUCCAACCGGAUUUAUGUUUGGAUGGGACGUGAUGGGGGCGGAGCCGCUGGAACUGGAUGGACACAAUCAAAAUAAACAAACUCUCGACUGAG
ensembl:antisense Gm15893 predicted gene 15893